UCAGAUUAAGGAGUUUGGCGCAGUGUCAAAAGUAGACUUUUCUUCACAGCCACCAUAUAAUUAUGCUGUUACAGCUUCUUCAAGGAUUCACAUUUAUGGCAGAUACUCCCAAGAACCUGUAAAAACCUUUUCUCGAUUUAAAGACACAGCAUACUGUGCUACUUUUCGACAGGACGGUAAACUGCUUGUGGCUGGCAGUGAAGAUGGUGGAGUUCAUCUUUUUGAUAUAAGUGGAAGGGCUCCCCUUAGGCAGUUUGAAGGACAUACAAAAGCAGUUCAUACAGUAGAUUUUACAGCUGACAAAUACCAUGUGGUUUCUGGGCUGAUGAUUAUACAGUUAAAUUGUGGGAUAUUCCAAACUCCAAAGAAAUUCUGACAUUCAAAGAACAUUCUGAUUAUGUGAGGUGUGGAUGUGCUAGCAAAUUGAAUCCGGAUCUCUUUGUAACAGGAUCAUAUGAUCAUACUGUGAAGAUGUUUGAUGCACGAGCAAAUGAGAGUGUUAUCUCUGUAGAGCAUGGACAGCCAGUGGAGAGUGUCUUGCUUUUUCCUUCUGGAGGUCUUCUGGUGUC